rnacentral:rRNA from 1 species
CAACGGUAGGUCAGCAUGCCCCGAAUUAUCUGGGCUACACGCGGGCUACAAUGGGUGGGACAAUGGGUAUCGACACCGAAAGGUGAAGGCAAUCUCCUAAACCCAUCCGUAAGUUCGGAUUGUGGGCUGCAACUCGCCCACAUGAAGCUGGAAUCUGUAGUAAUCGUGUCUCAAAAUGGCACGGUGAAUAUGUCCCUGCCGUCCUU